CCAGGUAGUGUAGUACUGAGCCAAGUUCCAGAUAGUGUAGUACUGAGCCAAUUACUAGGUAGUGUAGUACUGAGACAAGUUCCAGGUAGUGUUGUACUGAGCCAAUUACUAGGUAGUGUAGUACUGAGCCUCUGAUGUUUACAGAUGGACAGGCUACUUCCCUGCCAGACACAGUCAGUCCACUGGAACAGUUACAGGCAGACUUAACUUCAGAAAUCUCCAUCUGUUCAGUGUUUUAGUUGAGAUGUGAUGGGGAACAUUGGCGAUGCUCUUUGAUCAUUACAUUACAAUAUGUCUUACUACUCUGACAGUUAGAUGACAUUUACAAGGACAAAUUGAUCAUGCAGUUUUAACCUGGUGAAAUAGAAUAUUUUUGAAUAUCAAAUAUCUUUGAUAUAUCUGAAAUAUAGCUUUGAGUCCUAAAAAUGGCAAAUUGCAAUUUAACCAGUUAACCAUACCUCACCAAUGUGAUCUCACUCUGUAUAUCCUACUGCUGUGUUUCUAUGGUGUUUUUUACUUAGGCAAUCCGGAAUGACAAGGGAGGAUCUGCAGGACCUGAAGGAAUCAGCCUGUGACCUGACAGAGAUGGAGCCAACCAACUCAUUGUGCUCAACAAUGACAGCCAUGAGAACCUGAGUGCCUUCCUGGGGCCUGCUCUACACUGAGAAACGGCAGUGGCAACAAGCCAUGUCCGACUUUGAAGCGGGAUCAAACUCGACAGCGCUGGCCCCAGUGAACCUGGCUUGCUGAAGCUCUAGGGUCAUUUCCUAUCCAGCAGGCUGCAGUCCAGUCUUUCCUGGGGAAUGAUGCCAAAGCCAUUGCCUGUCUAGAGGCAGCCACCAACAAUCGACCCUCACCUCCUAUCUUCAUUCUGCUGGGCAAGACUCAGAUGAAGCCCAACGAUGCCCUGGUCUACAAGCGGUGGAGGACUACAGAACAGAAGGUGAACUCCAAGAGGCACCUGAGGAUUGAGAUGAGCCAUCCCCAUAGUAGUGGUACUGUACCGUCUGUCUCCAUAUGAUGCUACUCAAAUCAAAAAAAAAUGUAUUAAGUACUUGAUGUGUUUAGGUCUGUUAAAUCACUCAACCAGUAGGUCUGAACCUGA
rnacentral:lncRNA from 13 species